AGAAUCAACGCUGGCGGCGUGCCUAACACAUGCAAGUCGCACGAGAAAGGGACUUCGGUCCUAAGUACAGUGGCGCACGGGUGAGUAACACGUGAAUCAUCUACCUCCGAGUGGGGGAAUAACUGAGAGAAAUCUUAGCUAAUACCGCAUAACACUUACGAGUCAAAGCAGCAAUGCGCUUGGAGAGGAGUUCGCGGCAGAUUAGUUAGUUGGCGGGGUAAUGGCCCACCAAGACGAUGAUCUGUAUCCGGCCUGAGAGGGCGCACGGACACACUGGAACUGAAACACGGUCCAGACUCCUACGGGAGGCAGCAGUGGGGAAUUUUGCGCAAUGGGGGAAACCCUGACGCAGCAACGCCGCGUGGAGGAUGAAAUCCCUUGGGAUGUAAACUCCUUUCGAUAGGGAAGAUAAUGACGGUACCUAUAGAAGAAGCCCCGGCUAACUUCGUGCCAGCAGCCGC
rnacentral:rRNA from 1 species